UAAAACAUAAAGCAGAAGUAGACAAAUUAUGAAUUAAGCUUGUACCUAGGUCUGACACAGCGAUGCACACUGUCCUGAAUCCUUCAACUGACCAUUAAGUUAAAAACAAACCAACACACACCCAGAUCAAUAUAUAAUUUAGGCUGCCACAGUGUUCAAACACUAACCCAGAAUGAAAGAGUAUAUUUGAGGACAAGCUACAUUCAUUCCUUUUCUAAAGUGUACUACUACAACCUUAAUUGCAUGGCUGUAUGUAUGCACAAAUAUACAGCAAAUUCAAUCCAGGUAAACACAUAGGCUUUACCAUUUUAAAUUUUGUUUUUAAAUCAAGUCAUUUACUUAAAUACCUUACACUCACUUCCAAGACAGGAUUUCUAUCUUACAAGUCAAUCUAUGAAAACUGUUUCGUGUGCUUCAGAGCUUCUGGAUGUAUGAUCAAAUACUUGCAGAACUUCAGAAUUACAUUACAUAAUGUGGAGUUAAUAGUCUGAUAUCUACUAUAUAAUGUCAAAUACUUAAAAUUGCAGUUCAUUAAUCAGAAUGAAAGGAGUAUAACUGCUUGCUUCAGACAUUUCAGGAAAACAAUGAUUUAUACCUAGAUAGGAAACAGAAGGCAUCAGAAAUCUUUUGGUGCAGGAAGUAUACCUGCAUCUUGGAAUGAAGAGGAAUUUCCUAAUGCAUUUGUUUAGAUUGGAGUGGAGGUGCUUAGUGGGAACUACUAUCUACACACACUAUGAUGAAACUCUCAUGAAUUCCAGGGCAAAUUAAUAGGAUUGUGUUAUUAAUUAGCUAAUACAAGCCAUGCCAUCUUUACUUAAGGUAAAUGCAUUUCUUCACAGAAAGGUAAAAAACAAAUACAACUCAGCUUUUGGAUUUCAAAAGUCUGAUGUUAUUAAUCUGCAAGAACACAAAAAUUCUUUCAACCCUCUAUGUGGAUUUCUUUACACAUUCUAGUUUAAUUUAUACUUCUAAAUUAAACAUGAGUGAAUGUUAUAAACAUAUUGUUUGUCUUCUGGGACACAAAUUAAUCAUACUCAUAUUUACAACUGAACAGCUAUCUAGACACUUCAGAAAACUCAACAGUGCUGCAGUAGUGAAAAAAGCUAAUGAACUAAUGUUGAAUAUGUAUAUCCAGCACAGGAGGCCAGAUCUGAACACAAAACUGAUCUGAUAAGAGUGGUCUGAUAUAUGUAUAUAUAUAUUUUAAAUUAUAGCAGAAGCACACAAAUGGAAAACUCUGAUAGGCUUACCCCAAAGAAAACACAUUUUCAGAAGUUUUUCAACAUUCAGAGAAUGCAAAAAACUUGUGGGAGUUGGGCAGAUGUUGAAAGGGGAAGUGUUUUGUUUUAGAUGGAAAUAUGAAGUUGCCUUGAGAAUAAAGACAGCGAAAUCAUAUUAGAUUUUUUCCUCCAUGUUGCUAAUGUAGGUGGGCUCAGAAAACCCAAGCUGGUGCUAUAUCAUUGGCAUUUUCUUCCCAAGUCUGCUGUGAGGGCAAACUGAGAAACACAACCAAGUGAGAAGUAGUUUUCUCAAAUCAUUUAGAGUACAAACAGUUAAGGAUUUCAUGCCAUCACCCCUCUCCAAUACAGAUACUCUAGUCUCAUUCUCUUAUUAAAUAAUGUAUUAGUUUUACAGUUGUUUGACAUUCUGUUGAUCUGUCAAAGGGAAGCCAACAGACCACUGUCAUCAACAUAAGGGGCUAUGCACAAAGCGAGGUGCUGGUCACAGUGCAAAGUCUGCUGAACUUGGUCAGAUUUAUAAGGACCUCAAGAAGGGUGUUAGCUCAAAAGGACAUGACCUAAUUAAAAAAAUAAUAAAUCGGGGAGAACAUAGAAGAUGAGAAGGAAUAUAGUUCUCUCAUUAAAGCAGCUCAUCUGAAAGUCUGCUUGACUGAAGCUUCCAAGUCCCACAGAUUCCUGUGAUACCCAAUUUUAAUUUGGAAAUUGACUCAGAGGUGAAAAUAAAAAAAGAAACCAAAAUACUUCCUUACAGAAUCUUAACUUGUUCCAUGAUUAUAAGGGGAUAUGGGCCAUAUGUGUGUAUGUGGAGUCAUCAGAUGUUAGGGUUUUCCCCCCUUAGUUACACAGCAUGGCUUUUCCUUAAAUGAUGCUGAUUGUGACACUUUUUUGAACUGUGAAUAAACAAUCACGUUAUCUAAAGGCAUCAAGGUAUCCUGUCUUGUGUGGUUUACCUUUAAGACUAUCAGAAAUAAUAUAGCUGCUCUGCAUUACAACAUGAAAUUAAAUUUUAAUAUUAGGUUUUCUUAAGAAAAAAAUUCUCUGAACAUAUUUAUCCAGGUAACAUGAGCUGUCUAUGUCUGGCAUUACAGUUGAAAAAAUGUCAGGUAAAAGGACCCUUUAAAGAAAUGGUCUUUUUAGACAUCAGAUUGUGACAGCACCAAGCUUCCUAGUAAACAGAUACAGGACCUAAGGGAUGCCUGUAAUGCUUAAAGGCCAGAUCCAAGUAGCUUGGUUUUUUAGCCUGUUUAAGAAAACAUGGAAAACUCUCUUAUUUGUGUUAAUGAAUAUUAAAGAUGUACACACCUGUGAGGCCAGGGAGGUCUUCCUUCCAUUUAGGAAGUUUCUUAAAGCUCUGGACGGGAGAGAGGGUUAAGAGCUAGCUUUUCAUUACCUAAAUCAUGCACAAGUCAAUAUAAGCAAACAUUGGGGUUUAGGAUUUAUCUGGGUAAGUGAGGACAUUCACACCUGAGCUGGUCAUACUGGGCAGAAGCAGAUCUGAUCAGGGUACUAUAAAGUUUCAAAUAUGGUUCGUAUUGCAGCAGAAAUCCAAAAUUUGGAGGUUUGUAUCUAUUUGACUCAUUUAAUGACUAAGAUUACAGAUUUAACAUACCCAUCUAAAGUCAGGUGAAAUAAGUUCUACAUUAAGUGCUUAUGAUACAGUGAUUCCAAUUUACCUGGAAAUACAGUUGACAAUCCAUUGAAGCAUGAGUUAACAUCACCUUACAGACUUGUUACCUAGGUAUCAAACCAUGUAUUUGUAAGCACAGGUCCCAGAGGAACACCAAAAUGGAACCUGACAAAAAGAUGACUGCUUUGGGAGGAACAAGUCCUUGGUUUUGCUCACGAUUUCUGAUGCUUCCUACAUCUGAUGUUUAAACAUUACUGAGUAAAAUCCAUGAAGCAACGCUGGGAGCAGGGACAAGAUCCAGCCCAUCUUUUUCCCCUCUUCCUCUGAGGAUCCCAGUGUUCCCAUUGUAAAAUCUAACUCCUCCUUUUCCCUUUCUCUAGCAAGUGAUCCAGAUUGUCUUCAACAAUGGAAGGUGGGGAGUCAGCAUCCCACCAUCUGAACCCAUUUGCCCCAGGUUUGAAUUCCCAGAGACUGCAGAAACCCUAGCAUUUAGAGCCUGUGCCGUUUUUACUGGUGUUCAAACCAACAGACAUUGUCAUCCACAACAACUGUUUUCUAUUGUAUGGUAUUGUAUGCCUUUAAGCUUACAAUACAGUUACCAUCCGAGACCUCCAUAACAGCGUCUCAACUCCUUGCACAACUAGUGAAGACUAGUACUCACAGGUUGACAAUUCCCAUCUUUCUGUUGUUUAUACAGGGAGGUAAGCGGAAAGAAUAAUUCUUAGCCAAUGUACUUACUUUUUAAGCACUGCAACACCUACUUUAAGGGUCAGAUGCUGAUCACCAAUUUUAGGCUCUAGUACUAUCAGUAGGGAAUUUAUGAGCAAAGCUACCUCUUAAGGAAAUUUGUAGUAUUGGUAUUGCCUUGCUGCUGAGGCCAAAGGACAUUCCAGUGGUAGGUAACACGAUAUAGUAGAAACAUUACUUCAUUAAGACUCUAACGAAGUCCGUGGGAGCUGAAGCCACUGGUAUGUGGCUGUAUGUGUCCAAGGCAUAUUCUGUUUCUCACAACACCAAGCCAGAAAAAUUAUGUUUCAAAGCACUGCUAUUCUCUCCACCUCAUUUACUAAAGCCUUUAAAAACCUAGAAUUGUCUCAAGGAUUUGGACCUCUUUACUAAAACAUAAAUUAACUUCUUGUGCUGUUUGAUGAAAGAGGAAAUACAUGAAGAAUGUUAAAAGGUAGAAGACCCCUAGGCUAUGGCUAGUUUCCUCUGGCAUAUAAGAGUGGAGCAGAUUAUUUCAUGACACUGGAAAGCCAUGCAAGUGCCUGUCUGGAAGCAGUGUGGAGGGACGAAGCUUUCUAGAAGAUGCGAGUCUGAAGCAAGCAAGAAAUAGAGCAUCCUUUGUUCACAGCUGGGAAAUGAGUGAUACUUGAAACAGGUUUUCAAAAAAUUAUUCAUUGCUAUAAUUUGAUACUGACAUAUAUGAUGUGGAGUACUACAGGCAGCAAAGUCAUGGAAUAAGAAAGGUGAGAAAAUAAGACUAUAUGUCACAAGGUUUAGAACACAAUGAUACCUUCCCCCCUCUGAAAUCUUGCUGAGCACUGAAUCACGGAAACAAUGAAUAGUUCAGGAUCCUCAAAAGAGAAUAGCUGGGAGUCCCAGCCACCAAAGUAUGUUAUCACAAUAAGAAAACAGAGAACACAGUGACACAUGCAUGAAUGAAGUAAGAGUUAUAGCUUUUAUUUCAACUGAGUCCCCAGUGAUGUUCUUUUAUACCACUAGCACACAUCUGGGCAACUGUCUUCACCUUAGUAUUGUCUCACUCUGGAAGCCAGUUAAAUCUGCCUGGGACCUACACAUCUGCACUUCCAUGAGAAUUUUAGACAGAAAAACAUCUUUAUCCUGUGCCUCUUACUUGAAUAUAUAACACUAGUAAUAUUGGUAAGAGGAAUGUCAUGAAGGCACACAGAACAUUUUGUCACUCAGGAUAAGUUAAGAUCUUGAGAGAGAUUAUUUGGUUUACAGUAGGAUGUUAUACUUCAAAUAGUUUUAGGCCAGUAGAGACAAAUAUCUUUGAAAGCAAUAUGGAGCCUAUAUAGUUUCUAGGUAAAAGGGAAACCGUAUUAGGAGAAAAAUAUGAUUAGCUUUGCCAUCUUAGAAAGAGAGGGAUAUACAGGAGACAAAAUUAAGAAACCAAUAAAGGAAAAAUAAAAAAAAAUAAAAAAAAAAAACCUCUUCUGUUUUAGGUCCUGUUAUUCCACAAGACAGAUAUUUCAGAAGGAGCAGGGUGGAGAAAAUAAACCAUCAAGGCAGAGCUACCCCUAGUAAUGACUCUUCCAGGCAUUUCUGCAGAAGGUGCAGGAGGUAAAUUAGUUGCUAUUUAGCUUUGAGAGGGUGCUAACUCUAAGAAAUUAUUGUUCCUUAUUAGCAACACAUCUGCUGGAACUAUUUCUUGUUCAACAAUAGCUCAAAAAGGAAGGAGGGAAGAAGUGUGGAAACCACUGAAUUGCAAAUCAUCAGCACUUCUCUCACCUUAUGACUUCUGGGUAGGAGUGAGAACAUACUUUCAUCAAAUGCAGCAUGAAAGCUGCAAAACCUUAACUGAUGUUAAAAAGUAGCCCCAACUGAAUGGGAAAAAGAAGAGCAAGUGUGAAGCAAGCUUCUGUUCAGCAUUCAUGUUCUUGCUGACUUCACUGAGGUAGAAGCUGACUCUGAGCAGCAAGAUCACCAGCAAUCAGUUCAUCCAUGGCCUGUGUGCACAGGCUGCAUCACUAGAAAUCAUCACUUUCAUAGGCCAGGAUGACAAGAGGAGCAAAAGCAUGGAAUUACCUUCAGUAUUUAUCAUUUGCUCAGUACUUCUGCCUGUGGAUGAGCAAACCUAACAUUGGUCUAUACAAUGUAAAGGAGAAAAUGGAAGUUGCAUCAGAAUUACUUUGAUAUAAAUAAUUCAGCGCUUCUCUAAGACUUAUUAUCAUUGUAAUAAAUUCAGCAGCAAUUGACCCAACUUCCAUUGCCAUAACCAAAAAUGCUUGUGACCUAGCGAUCAGAUCUUGGAGAUGGAAAAUGUCCAAAAUCCACACUUUCUAAGAGGGUCCAUAUCUUGAUACUUGUCCUCAAGACCUAGGAGCUGUACCAGGACAUUGAAGAUGUGAUGGUCAUACUGCACUGUCCUAGGCCAACAGGACUCCGCUCCAUCCAAGACUUCAUAGAAGCAGAUCUUGUCUGGCAGAGGAGAGAUGAUAAAAGAUGACUGCUCUCCUGGAUAUAAAUGUUUCUUACUGGAAGAAGGUUACAUGAUAUAUACAGAAGUAAAUUUUACCUUUCUAAGAAAAAAAA